rnacentral:pre_miRNA from 1 species
UGGAGGAACAACCCCAGUGGGGCAGCCAGCUCUGGAGCCCUGGAUUCAGCUCCCACAGGAACUACAGAGCUCCCUGUCCGCAGGACCUGGAUGCUCCGGGGCGGG